UACAGAGGUCUCAAGCGUUGUUCGGAAUUACUGGGCGUAAAGCGUGCGCAGGCGGUUUUGUAAGUCAGAUGUGAAAUCCCCGGGCUUAACCUGGGAACUGCGUUUGAAACUACAAGGCUAGAGUGUGGCAGAGGGGGGUGGAAUUCCACGUGUAGCAGUGAAAUGCGUAGAGAUGUGGAGGAACACCGAUGGCGAAGGCAGCCCCCUGGGUCAACACUGACGCUCAGGCACGAAAGCGUGGGGAGCAAACAGG
rnacentral:rRNA from 1 species